AAUUUUUUUUUUUGAGAAUCUAAAAAACAAAAUGCUAAAUUAGAAAGGGCAGCUGCUUCUAAAUUCUGUUUUGAUCUGCAUAAAUCAGGCUUGAGUCCUAACGUCUCUGCACAACUGAUCAUUGUACCAUAUCUGUAGAGCACCAACACAAGAUCUUCGGUACAACCUGUCUGCAUACUUCUUCACGUACUUCUCCCGCAUCAUAACAUCCUUCUCCAUGGCCCUUACGCUCGGCAAUUCAAAGGUCCCAUUGAGGAAAUGUGCUAGUCAUUGGCAUCUCAUAUCCGACGUGAACAAAUUCGAGAUGCCCUUCGAGUAUCCUAUUAUAGCCAGUUGCGGUAUUUGAGGAUGAAUCAUUUGCCAGCGACAAAAGGAAUAAUUGAUAUAUUAAUAUUUAGUGGGUCCACUGUACAAGACUUUUGCGGUGUUUUUUGAACAUGUAUCCCAUAAAUAUAUCAUUAGAAAUUAAACAUGUGCAGCAUAUUAAAGCUAAGUGGAUUUGUGCUAGGUGAUAGUUUGUUUAAGAUGGGGCUUCUCUUCAAAAUAUAAAUAAAUAAUCUUGAUAGGUUUAGUCUAGUUAUGUGAAUCCACCACAAGGCCGACUUUGAUAAUUCAAGUCGUUCAUAUAUCUACUAUAAAUAUUUGGAUUAAUGUUUUAGUAACCACCUGACUUCAAUCAUCGUAUAUUAAUAUAUUUGUUCCGAAAGAGGAAAAUCAAAUAUGAUUUAGAGAAUAGAAGUAAAAUUUUAUUUUAUUUUUUGAAAAAACAAGUACCAGUAUUCAUGAUUUGUUGGAUCAAUCCAACUUAGCAUAUGAACGACUUAGAUAAUCAAAGUGGAUCCCAUAGCGAAAAUAUGCUUCUAUUUGUUCAUAAAUGAUAACAAAACCGAAAGCGUUAAUUAUACUCGGUACCCUUCCAUUUUUUUUUCCAGAAUUCCACUUUGGCACCUUCACUUCAUUUAUGAUAAUCAACCCUUUACAAUUCAAGAGAAGUUGCAAUGUCAACCUUCCGUCCCUUUGGUGUGAACAAGGCGAAUGAAUAUUGACAUUAUUACAAGGACACAGUUAAAGGUAGAGGGACCAAAAUAAAGUUUUGCUAAAAUUGUUGGGAUUACAGUGAUAUUUUAGUAAAAGUAUAUAAUCGUUAACAAGCAGAGAAUAUGUCACAUGCGUAUCACACGACAAUUCUCACAACCUUAUAAAGGCGAGAUUGAAAGAAAGGGUGACAUUGCAACUUAACUUGUAAGGAUUGGCUGACAUGAUUGAAAACAAAGGGGAGCGGAUUUUUAGUAAAAAUGUGAAUUCUAUGAUGGACUCAAAAUUAAAAGCACGAGACGUUGGAAAUUAAGACCUGAAGAGAGGAAUGUUGAUGUUGGGGACCUCGUGAUCCAUUUUUGGAAAUUUGGGCAGUGAAAAAUAUUUUUCAGCUUCUCAUCUCGCUUGUAGCCAGUGGCAAGUAUCACAAGAUCUGUCUUUAUAGCCUCAACUUCUCCAUCUACAAUCACAUCUUCUCUGUAGAAGCUAAAGCCUUAUGGUUUCUUAAAAAUAUUGCUUCCUUCUUCCACGUUGUCAUAGAAGUUCUCAGCAGGCAGCAUAAAAAUUUGGUAAGCAGAUGCAUCUUCAAGAAAGCUGUGUUUUGGUUUCAUCCCAUACUUCUUUAGGGGAGUUUCCAUUUAAGGUAGCUCUCUACAAAUUUUGAUAGCCCCCGGAUAUCUUUUUUGGGGAAAAAAACAAAUUACAUGAUUUACAAUGUUAGUGCUAUGACAAAAAAAAUGAUAUAGAAAUUUUAUUAACAGAACAUUUUUGAAAGGGAAAAUCUUACCAUUAGUCCCUGUAGUUUGACAAAAGUUUCACUUAAGUCCUUAUAGUUUUAAUUUGAACAUUUAGGACAUUGCGUUUUCAAUUUAUUUCCAAUGUAGUUCUCCUGUAAACAUCCGUUAAAAAUUUUAAUGGAAAGGAAACACGUGAAACUCACAUGGCCAACUCUUAGAGGGUAAUUUUACCACCAUUGAUCCUUGUAGUUUGACCAAAGUUUCACUUUGAUCCCUAAAAAUAUGUGAGAUUUAUGUGCUCACUUUCUUUCCAAAUUAUUAUCAGAUAUUGCCUGAGGGACUAUAAAGAGCAAGAUUGAAACUACAAGGUCUUAAUUGUUCAUAUAAGAAUUAGAGUGACUAAAGUGAAACUUAAGUCAAACUACAAGGCCUAAUAGUAAAAUUUAUCCUUUUUGAAAGAAUAAGUGGGCAUUUUGAUAAGAAUAAUUAUUGGUACACAUCCAAAAGUGGGUGUGUACAAGUCAUACUCAUUUUGCCCUCUCACAAAAUAAGUGGGACCCGUCCUAAUUAAGAUUUUUAGAAAAGCGUGAAAACCCUAAUUAGGGCAGAUCCUAUUUAUUUUGUGAAAGAAAAAAAUUAGGUGUGUCUUGUAUACACCAAAAAAUCACUAUUGUUUUGAUAAAUUAAAAGAUGAGAGGUUUUAGUAAAUUACCAAAGGUGAAAGUAGA
rnacentral:lncRNA from 1 species